GUAGAACAACCACAAUCUCUUAGCUCUCUCUCUCUCUAACACUCACUCCGAUCGCAUUCAUCUCUAACCUCUUAGCUCUCUCUGUGUGUAACGCUAUGUAAGAUAGCUCAUAAACACUCCGAUCUUGUUCAUGGAGCUCUAGUAUUUAGGUUUUCAACUAUAUCUGUUUUACAAUUUGAGUCUGACCGAAGAAAUUUGUUUCUUCUAUACACCCACCUCAUAUACACUGUUCGCACUUACUAAUUUCUGUUCGAUCUAGUGUUCAAGCUUCAUUUCUGGUGUUUUAGAGUAAUAGGUUAGAGAUGAGUCAGUGUACUAUUUGUGGUUUCUACCGGUGUUCGAGAACCCUAAUAUGAAGGUCUUUUGUGAACAAUCAGAGUAAGAUUAGAGUAUAACAAUUGUGUUUUGGCUGCAAAUAUGUGUCAACAGUGUACAUACAACAAAAUUUGCGAAAGGGGUUUACAAAUUGGUUUACUGCUUAAGGUUGAUUUGGAACAAUGGUGGCUGAAAAAAGUUUGAGACUGAGGUUUAUAUAGGCUCAAGAAGUGGAAUUCAAAAGUUGAACCUACCAUUAUUUGCAGCCGGAAUAGUGAUGGAGACCUUUGAGUUUCCAAGAAAUAAAUCUUAAUAAUCAUGCAGAUUUUUUGGAAGCAUUUAUUUCAAAUACAUUUUUAAAUCUGUAUGUGUGUAUCGGAAGGUCUUUACGUGUAUAUAUGUAAAUCGAUUCAAGCAAUCUUGGAAAUAGAUUUUAUAUAGGUUAUGAUUAGAAGUCUUACAUAAUUAGAAGUCUAUUGAAUAUCCUUGGUAGCAUAACAUAUUAGCUGUAUAAUUGUCCUUGGAAAGCCAAACGUUAAUUGAACACCAUCAAUUCGCAAACUCUAAUCUGCAUACUCUAAACGGCGCCGUAUGAUUUAGGCGGGAUAAUGGUUGUAGUAGAAAGUUACUGCUUUAUUAUAUUGAUAGAUUAGAAAUGUAUCUGGCAUCAUCUUUUAAUUGAAACUUGCACUUAUCUGUCUGAUUAAA